rnacentral:tRNA from 1 species
UGCGGGAUAGCCAAGCGGAAAGGCACUCGGCUCUGACCCGAGAGAACGAAGGUUCAAAUCCUUCUCCCGCAGCCA